ACCACGUGAUCACUCACGCUUGUAGUUCAGAGUGGCUGCGACAACAGGAACAGCAGAUGCUGGAGAAUCUGAGAUGACACGGUGUGUAGCUGGAUGAACACAGCAGGUCAAGCAGCAUCAGGCGAGCAGGAAAGCUGACGUUUCGGGCCUAGAUCCUUCGCUGAGACCAAGAUUUGUGCAAUUGUGAUACCAGCGAUCGUUGCCAAAGGCCUGUUACCUGUGGAGAAGAUGAUGUUUAACUUUCGUGUCCUGCUGCAUUUUGUAUGCUGAAGGUGCUCCCACAAUGCGGCCAUUUGAGAAGUUACAGAUUGUUCAUCUAGCGAUACUGAAGAGCUGAUGAUGUAUGUCCAAGUCAACAAACAACUUGUAUUUUUAUCAUGUUUUACAAUAUGAUUAAAAAUAUUAUCACGAAA